CAGCCCUGCUCACCUUGAUGUUUUGUGGAUUCACCUACCGGUCACACAAUUAGUGUUCGGUUUCUCCUUACCUGCACGACAUGGUAAAUAAACGUUGAUUCAGUCGUGCGUCCUAACAAGCCGAGAUGCAGUUGUUCGUCUGAAGAAUGUCAGUGGUGAUUUGAUGAAGGAGAACUUUCUUUUAAGCUUCUUUCCAGGAGAAGCUGAAUCCUUCUGCCUCACAGGAAUUAAUGCCAGCUGACUUCUAAGACCCCACAACUCUUUGCUUAAAAUACCGAUGAAAAAUGCAACAGUAUCAGGACAUCGAGGUUUAAAAUUCUUUGGGGCUUGGCGUGAAAGUGUGUGCGAGUGUGUGCGAGUGUGUGUGUGUGUGUGUGAGUGUGUGUGUGUGUGUGUGUGUGUGCGCGAGUGUGUGUGUGUGUGCGAGUGUGUGUGUGUGUAAAGAGGAUAAAGGUUUCUCCAUUCAGGUCAUCGUACACAGGCAACACUCGCAGAUUAUUACGACAGCAAACAAUGGUGAGAAAGCUUGAUUCUUUCCAUUUCGGGGGUCUUAAGCACCGUGUGAGGGGGAUUUUCACCCAGUGAGGAGAUCACAGGUAUUAGCAUUCAUGCCACACUGGAACAGGUCGACGACCAUAUUUGGAAAUGCAACUCACUACUCAGAGCUGACAACACAACUUGUUAUUUUUGCUUGUUUCUUUUUUCAUUUGUGCUCGGUUAGUAGAGUGCGUGAUUUUAUUUUGCCUGGAUUUUUUUGUAUUUGUUAUUCAUGGGGGCCGGGUGCUUUCAUGCUUGCUUUGACCUGGAGUUUUUGUGUUUUGUUCAGCAUAUUUGUAUGCGUGUUUGACCAAAAAAACAAGGUCAUUCGAACUGGGUUCCAAUUUGGUUCAGAGUCCUGGUUAAGGUUAGCCGUCUUAGGUUUUGGGGGAGAGGCUGGGAAAGGAUUAUGGCCGUGAGAGGUCCCCACACAGGGCAGUGAUACAAGUGUGUAUGUUUGUUCCUCUGUGCUUCUCUUGGAGAUUAUUUUUUAGGUAUGCUAAUGCUUGGUGUGCAUGUUGAGGGUUGUAGCAGCGUGUCUGUUCUUGCGAAUGACUGUUUGUUUCCACUGGGCUGUGUGUGUUUCUGCAUACGCUCAGACAUGUGAAAGUUAUUUGUGUUUCGGUCUCUGAGGUUUUGUCUUUCCCUCAAAACACACAUUAGCCAAACAGCUUCAUCUCUGCUGCACACAAACCUUCGUCCCAUUUUUGAAAAGUGUGACCACUAUUCCCCAAAUAUUAUCUUCACACAGCAGCAGGCUGAUCUUCAAAGUGUCCCCAGUAAGCUGCGGUGAAGAGUUUUGUCGCUCGCUGACAGGUGAGGCAGUUUCUGUUGAAGGUAGCUGGUGUGACGCCGCUGCAUCAAUCAUCUGCUCUGAAGCCGUCAGAAAACAAUUAGGUGACUGGGCAGCUGACCAACCAGCAGCAGGAGCUUCACUGUUGGAAGAGCGUCAGUGCUCGCACUCGCCAUCCAAUGGUUAGUCACAUGCACGCGACAUUUGCGAGCUGAACGUGGGCUUCUCUUCCUGAAGCAACAAAAAGGGGUCUCCCACUUCAGCACCUCUCCAGUGAGGUGUCCAGGGCUCUUCCUGCACAGCACCUCAACCCUAUUUUGAGUCUUCAGACGUGGUUGCUGCAAGGGCCAAGCGUCUGUCUGGGUUUACAAGUGAGGGAAGGAUGUUGGAGGCCACAGCACACUGGAGAGGUGGCAUCCCUCCCUUGACCUGGGCGCACCGUGGCGUCCCUCUGGAAGAGCUGAACAAGCCUUAAAGGUCUUUCAUAACAAAGCAGCAGUUCAGCAAGAUGUGCUAAUCCAUUUCAUCCCUUCGAUCAAAGCAAAACAUACUUUUCUCUCCUGCAAAGCUUCACAUGGACAAUUCUCUCGCUGUGUUUGCCUGUGCUUAAUGCGCCUGAGCAGAGAGUCUGCUGCUUCAUUACUGUAAAAUAUUGCUGAAUUAUAUUUGAAAUCCCCCACCUCAGUCUCCAGCACAGCGCACCCUCCUGUAUAUUUUGGCAAAGCCGUUUUACGCUCACCAUCAUCCUGCAUCGCCCCUAAUUACAACAUCUGUGAUCAAUUUGUGCCGAUGUUUUUGCGUCCAAUUACUCGCUGAAACGAGUCCCCACAGUCCUGUCGCAGAAAGAAGCUUCCAGAGUCUGGAUCGUUUAUCCAGAGGGUCGGCGUGCCGGAAACACGCCGACUCAUUGUCUCAUCUAAUCCCACAUUUAUUGUCCUAAUUCAACUCUCUAUCUGCUCUGAUAACAGGCUGAGUAUUAUGGUUCUUCCUGGUCCGUCCCCGCGUCGCAGAGCCGGCGGCGCUGGCCAAACAGCGCAGAAGAAUCUGUUCAUCCUGGGAGCACCAUGCAGAGAUGAAUUGACCAAUUAUUCAGCAGUGUCGCCGCCAGCGUGUGAGGCGUGGCGGCCAGUCGAGUUCAGAAAGGCAGCGGUGGUGCAGAAUAACAACAGCAGUGGGUCUUUGUCCAACGCUGACUCAGCAGAGCGCAGGUCAGUCUUGUUAUGGAGACACGACAAGAACACAAAAGACCGUCUGAAGAACAAGAGACGGAGGCUUUGAAUGGAUUAAGGGAAGGACAUCGGAGGGCAGGGAGGUGCUGCCGGCUGCGACCUGCCACUGAAUAUCUCAACAGCAUCCUGGUGAGACUCAGCCUCACAGCAAGGUUGCUGGUUUGAGGUGAACCACUCGUGAGAUGGAGUUGUCUUUAGGAGUGUGAGUGUGUGAGAGAGAGCGGUGUCUGUGAUUUCAGGUGGAACUUCUGGUGGUGGAUCUGGGCCGAACGAAAGAGUCGUCAUGAAAAGAUGUCUAUUGACACAAACUAACAUCAACCUGUACAAUUUCUGAUGGCCGUGAAGACCUGGUCUCACUGGAUGUUGAGGGGCGAGGUUGAGAGGAUGGCAGUGAGAGAACAAACCUGUAACAUUCCAAAUAUGAGCGGCAGCGUGACAGCUCCUCGCUCAGACCUCAUUCCAGAAACAUUGUCCCACGCUGGAGCCUCCAGGUGGUGUUGGUUAGGUUAUGUGGUUCCCCUUUCAAAACAAUGCAGACUGCUGCUUUAGCGGAUGUGAGCUUGCAGACAGCUGUCAUCCCGGCCCUCGUAUUCAUAGAAGUGAAGUCACAUUUGGUAACUCAGCAUUAAUCUUUCUGUCUGGACUAAUAAAACCUUCUAUAAAGCCAGAACGGGUGUCGAUAACAGACGUCUGGAGCAUUUGAUUCACUUUAAAUCAGAUCUCUGAGUGGCUGUUUGUCCUGUCGCGCGACGCUCAGCAGGAGCCUUAUGAGAAUGAUGGAGAUCCCGAUCUGCUGCUCGUAACUCACCAGCUCCUUGACAUGUUAAUAUUGCUUCCCUCCGACCGGCAGCAGGUGCAGGAAUCCUCCCAGCAUGUGAAAUUGACACAAAUGUUUUCAGAUGACAUUCACAACUGUUCCCUGAAACUGCCAUCCAGUGACACGUGCCAGAUCUCCUCGCUCCAGCGCACAACUUAAUCUGGGAGAAGGUGCCUGAUAACGCUGCUCUUCCUGCGGAGGCAGCUUUAUAAAGAACACGUGACAGCAUUGUGGCAGCACUUCUGGAAACAUGCUGAAUUAUAAAGCAGGAGUGGAGUCGGGGGUUCGAACCCCUGUGAGGUAGCCACUGUUGGUCCUGGCUUGUGCAGCAGUGGUGCCAGUGGCUUUUCUUGCGUCCUGUGGUGAGGCCAUCUUGUCAUCAUUUUCGGGACUAACCUGGCUCGGAUGAGAAGCCUGCUCAUGCAAAGGUGCAGAAAGGCUUCGUAUCUUGACUUUCAUCCAUCCCCUCCUUUCUUGAAGCCGCAGUAGGUGGGACCCCCGGAUCUUCUCAACCGGUCCUCUGACGCCGCCGUGUUGCUCCACCAUCAGGAUCUCAUCUUUAUUAAUCGUCUGACACCCUGGCAGAGCUGCCAGCUCCAGCUCAGCCUCCACAGGGAGGAGAUUUGUUUGGACUUUUAAUUAUCUGUCUCUGAUUCCAAAAUGAGUUUUCUCUUUGAACAGCAAAACUAAUAAUAACAACAAUAGGCAGUGACGAAUCUGGGGAGAGUUGAAGUCCCUGCAAGAGACAAAUUGUUGAAAUAUCUCAACCAAGUGAGAUUUCUUGAAAAGACGGAAGACAAAUGAAAACACUUGUAAGAUAAUCGAAGCUCACAAAAGCUCUUAAUCGUUUCUCAGCCAUCGCUCAUGGAGCGGUGAUGUGCUGGUGCCACCAGACGAGGCAGUGUUACACACCUCGAGCCAUUUCUCAGCUUUCAUGUGACAGAUAAAGCAGUGAAACACUUCAUACAGUGGAAUAUGGUUCCUGUUCUUCCUGUGGAUGGAACAGAGGAGGCGCUGUGUUGGUUUGCACAGUGAGCGGGGGCCAUGUUUGCUUGUGUCUUGCAUCAGGUUCUUUAAAUUCAAGGCUGACCGUUCUCCACAGGCGAGGCCCCAAAGGUGAUCUUGCCUGGGGCCCAUGUCCUGCUCUCCAAGCCUUAUGAGCUACACCAUUCAAACUUCAUCUGUGGUGGUGGACCAACACAAGCGUGUGACAUCAGCUGGACCGCUGAAAUGCUCCCUCAGCAUUGUCGCAUGCUAAAUAAUCUGGAGAGCUGCGCUACAGCUGCUCCAUGUCGAGGACCCUCUGUGCCAGCGGCUUGGUGGAGAGCUAUAAAUCAGCCUUUAAUAUUUAAAUUUGGGGAGAAGAAAGAGACACAGACUCUUUAAGUCGUCUUUGCCUCCAACUUACUUACCGCCUCGCGCUAACGCCAACACCCAGGCCCUCCUUCAUCACUCGGCGUUGCACCGCGAACAGUGUGCACUGCAUAAAUCAUGGAAUGCAGACAGGAAACCUCAGGUUGGAAUUCCUUGCAAAACUAUUCAGAAACAGCAGGAUGGAUGUUUACGAUGGCAGAAGGGAACACUUCACAGACAGCAACGUCCAACACACACUGAGAGACAGAUAUAGACGACAGUCUCCGCGGAUUUUCUCGCCGCUGCAAAGUUUUGAGGCCCUAAAAGUUAGGUGUACGAUGCUUGAGGCAUUCAGACUUGUCGUGUUGGUUGUGACGUUUUGGUGUCUGUGGUCAAGAGCCGAAGUCUCCAGACAGGGGUGAUUCCCGGAUGACGCCAACAGCGUCGUCAUGGCAGCCAGAUUCCUGACAGGAGUUAUUGGUCAGUCGCAGCCUCUUCGACAGGAUAAAGCUUGCGGACACCAUGAAAUAAUCUCCUGGCUGGGUGGUAGAACUCAAUGGUGCCAGGCGGAGGUCACGGCAGCUCUAAACAAAUGCUAGGGAGUGACCGUGCAUUUAAAGUUUCUCGUCUGUGAGACUUGGAGCGGAUAAAGAGUGACUUGUUUUUUAGCUAGUUGAGGAUUCAAGCGGCGACGCCAGACAGCAGUAGUUGGAUUUAUUCGUCUCCCAUCUGAAUGUUUAUUAAACUUUACAGUAGACUGGAAGAACUUUUAUUGCCAACAUGCAAACCAACAAUUUGAGCGGAACUUUAUUUGAAGAGUGAAGAAUUGAGUUAUUGGUGAGGCUAGAUGAGAGUGAGUGGCAUCCAAUCGAUCUCUCCAGAUUCACUCCCUCACACUCUCUGAGGACGAACAUUGAUAUUCGAAGAGAAAAGGACGGACAGAUGGACGUUUAACUCUGCGCGCUGUGCGGAGACCCGGCCGUGCGCCUGCUGCGGCCUGCUUCUGGCAGGAUGGUCUUGUUGCGCAGCAGGUUCUGUUAUUCUGCUCACAUCGCCAGGAUCAAGACCAUGGAGGAGGCUGAGGAGACUGAAAUGAGCCUCAUUUUUGGACAAUCAACAGUUGAGCUGUGCCCUCAGAGGCUUCAGGAGGCUUCAAACUGAAUCUGAAAACAACAACUCUGUUUCACUGUUCUCCGUGAGGUGCAAGUCUUAUGCAGUGACCAGUGUUGAUGUCCCACAUGUGCAGACUGUCAUUGAGUAUGUUAAAAAUCAUGAGAGACGUAUUAAAGUUAAAAAAGGAAAUAAGUCAUUCUCAGUUUGCAUAAAUGCACUGUAAUUACACAUAACUACAGAAGAAAUUUGUCACGAAUUUAUAUUGUGAAACUCAUCGAAAAUGGGUGACUGCAAAAUUGUGAAACAUUUUAAUCUGAACCUAGUUUAAUUAACAAAAGAAGAAAAAAAAUCAUUAGUUUUGACACGUUCAUCCAAAGUUUUUUUUUUUUUUUUUUACAUUUAAUCUUGUAUACCAGAAGGUAAACUGUCAUGUCAGGCCGCAGCGAAGACUCGUAGACGCGGUGCAGUGUCGGUGGUUUUGACAGCUUUCAGACGAACCUGUGCAACACGCUGCUCAGCCAAUCAGCUCAGUCGAGCCAUGUCAGCUGACUGCAAUCACCUGCAGCUGCUUCGAACGUGAAACCGCGACAAGAAAAGCAGCGUCUUUGGUUCUGAAGUGAAGGCAGAGUCCCUCCCGUGGGUUGGGCUGCUGUUGCUGGCCGUCAGUCACAGUCGCUGCUCUGCUGGAGACCAAACAUUGAUUCAGCUGCUCAAACAAAGUAUCAAAUGAGCCUCCAUGUGAUGGUGUGGCAUGUCAGCGGUGCUGCAGCAGAGAAGACUGAAGGAGACGGGACCCUCAGCCUCACCAACACAUGAUGCAGAAGGAGCACAGCAGACCCCUCCCCCCUUUCACCCUGGCCCUGGACCACCUGGCUGAGGAGCACCUCUCUGCUGGUUGUUUGUAACUGUGCCUCAUGAUGUCUCUUCAGAUACGGUGGUUGGAGUGUUAUUUUUGCGUGUUUGUUUUUAUGCGACUGUAACUGUCCUUUGAAUCCUUGAAGAUUGUUGAAUAACACGUGAGGAUGCAGGUACUUUGUCUGGCACUAACUAUUUAUUUAUUAGUUCUAUUUAUUUUAUUUUUUAUGAUGUUUCUGUUCAUUGCAUACUAUUUCAAAGCACUUUCCUAGUUGGUGGAAUCUCACUGACCUUGGCAAUAAAGCUGAUUGUGAUUCCCCUUUUUUCUGACACAGGUACUGACCACUGCAGAAUGGAACCGCUCCAAAAGCUGCCCAGUUCGAAUUAAAACAUGACAGGUACUUGCCACUGCAGAUGGAAGACACAAGCUCAGUCGGCCAGUGUCAGCGGGAACACCAGGAAGCCGGAGAACGUGGAGUACUGCCAUCCGCCCACCAGGUUGCCCUUCUCCAGUUUCAGGUGGAGUCGGCCGAUCCAGGGUGAGAGGAACCCUGGAGUGAGGAAGAGUUGGGUCUGCUGCGCACGGUCACGUCCAAGCUCGUGUCCUGGAACUGAGCCCGACGCCUGGGCUGGAGUGAAUCCCCGGGUGUCACUCAGCUCAUUAGCCAAGGAGCACAUGAGCGGAACCGAAGCCUUCUCGUCUGUCCUCCAUCACCACGCCGUGCUGUGACGGUCAAACAAACCUUGUGCUCCAGAAUGGAGGUCACAGACCCGCCUCCGUGACGGGACUGGGUCACCUCUCCAGCGGUGGAAGGUUCAGCCGUGCUCUGUCCAGCGGUCUGAGGAGUCCAGAGAGCUGCUGCUGCUGCUGCUGCUGCUGCUGCCGCCGAGCUUCAGUGGAGCCAUCAGGCACAACCAAGGGGGCGUGGCCUGUCAGAGGCAACACAUCUGCGCUGCUCAUGUUUACAGUGCGAGUCACCUGUUGGAGCAACAUGUUGCCCCACUAGAUGGCGCCAGCGCGGCCAGCGUGAAGUUCGUGUUUCUGUGGAGAGCUGCAGGGAGGAUUCGCUGCCGAUGACAUCAUUCACACUCAGACACAUCAUACUCCAGCGACACUCAGGGUGUGAGACAGAGGAGCCGUUCAUCAGACUCUGCAGAUCCCAGGUGGUGGGGGCAGCAGCUGCAGCAAAGAGGUCCAGACUUUCACUCUCCACUGAAGACUCCUCAGCUGUGGAAACAGACCAGAGUCACCAUCUACUCAUACAUGUCCUUGCACUCUUCUGAAGUCCUGGAUAAAGUCACAGACGCACAUGAAGAGGCCCUGCGACUCCUGCUCAGUGCUCUCUCCAAACUUGAGCUGUGAGAUAAGACAUGGAGUCAGAAUUUGAUCUUUACUGUCAAUACAACUGCAGCGUCACCACUUGCUGGUUGGCUCUUCACUCCUGCACAAAUAAAA